rnacentral:rRNA from 1 species
GACGGAGGAUGCAAGUGUUAUCCGGAAUCACUGGGCGUAAAGCGUCUGUAGGUGGUCAAAUAAGUCAACUGUUAAAUCUUGAGGCUCAACCUCAAAAUCGCAGUCGAAACUAUUAGACUAGAGUAUAGUAGGGGUAAAGGGAAUUUCCAGUGGAGCGGUGAAAUGCGUAGAGAUUGGAAAGAACACCGAUGGCGAAGGCACUUUACUGGGCUAUUACUAACACUCAGAGACGGAAGCUAGGGUAGCAAAUGGG